AUUGAACGCUGGCGGAAUGCUUUACACAUGCAAGUCGAACGGCAGCACGGACUUCGGUCUGGUGGCGAGUGGCGAACGGGUGAGUAAUGUAUCGGAACGUGCCCAGUCGUGGGGGAUAACGUAGUGAAAAUUACGCUAAUACCGCAUACGAUCUAUGGAUGAAAGCGGGGGAUCGCAAGACCUCGCGCGAUUGGAGCGGCCGAUAUCAGAUGAGGUAGUUGGUGGGGUAAAGGCCCACCAAGCAAACGAUCUGUAGCUGGUAUGAGAGGACGACCGGCCACACUGGAACUGAGAAACGGUCCAGACUCCUACGGGAGGCAGCAGGGGGGAAUUUUGGACAAUGGGCGAAAGCCUGAUCCAGCCAUUCCGCGUGCAGGAUGAAGGCCCUCGGGUUGUAAACUGCUUUUGUACAGAACGAAAAGGUUUCUACUAAUACUAGGAGCUCAUGACGGUACUGUAAGAAUAAGCACCGGCUAACUACGUGCCAGCCGCCGCGGUAA
rnacentral:rRNA from 1 species